AUUACAUAAAGAAGAUGAAUAACACGUUGAUUACGCUUAUUUCAAAUAUUCCCACGUCAGAGUUCAUAACUCAAUUCAAACCCAUUUUUCUUUGCAACGUGAGUGACAAAGGGUUGUCUAAAAUUGUGAUUGAGAAAAUUAAACCUGGGCUGGCUAAUAAAAUUGCUACAUAGCAAUCUAAUUUUAUUACAGGAUGAAAUAUCUCCAAUAAUAUAUUAAUAGUUAACGAGAUAACUUAUCACUAACACAAAAAUAGAAGAUAGCUGCGGAUAACUAGCAGCUGUUUUUACAACCGCAGCUAUCUAGUGGUUUUCCAGCAGUUUUAGUGGUGAAAGUUGGAAGAAUAGCUAUUUAAUAAAGUUUUGCCAUGAAUUUUUUAGAACCGAAGCUAAUUUAGCUUUUUUUCGGCAAUAUUUCAAUCUUCCUCUUUCAAAAAACACAACACUCGGCAACAGCAUAAAAAAGAAAGAGAGAAAUCUAAAGAGAAAAGAGGGAAAAAUGAAGAAGAAGAGAGAAGGGAGGAAGGAACCGGGCUGGCGCAGCUGGGUUCGCCGCCGCCGUCGCGUUGCCGUGCCGUCGGAAAGCCAAAACCGCAAGAGAAAGAACCGCGAAGAGAGAAGGAGAUCGCAUCAGCUCACCGCGAAGCCAGCGCCGUCGUCGUCCUCAUCGCGGGUCUUCACCAUCGCGUCUUGCCACCGCUGCCACCACUAAGCUUGCCGUCGUCGCCACUGAAGCCGAAGAGAGAGAGAGAGAGAGAGAGUUCGCGAAGAGAGGGAGUGUGCACGCUCACGAAGGAGAAGAACGACGAAGAGUGAAGGAGAAGCAGAAGACGAUGAACGCAGGCGAGAAGGAGGAGGUCCGUUCUCGCACCGUCCUGCUCUGCUGCCGCCGCUGCCGUCGAUUGGGGUCAAGGCCGUCGUCGUAGCAUCCUGUUCCCGUUGCCAUUAGGGUUUGCUGCUGCUGCCACUGAUAGAGCUGCCGCUGGGAGGAGCCAAAUAGGGAGAGGAGCUCGCCAUCGCACACCCGCCACCAGUUACAACCGUCGCCGAAACCAGGACAAAUGGCAGAGCAAGAGCUUUGAAAUCUAGUAAGAGCAAUAGCAAGAGCAAGAGCCACUCUUCUAUAUAUCAAUCUUGCAUUGCCUUAUCGUGCGUUGCUACCUCCAAACUUCCAAAUCCAGAACAAAAACAUUACUGCUCUUAUUAUUCUUUCCAGGAAAAAUAUGAUAAACAAUAUGAACACUCAGAGGAGUUCUAGAAAGAGCUCAAAAUCAAGGUUCGUGAACUAUUAACUGAACAAGAAUGGAGAAGAAGAAAAAUGCAAAUGAGAGUAUGCUCUAACUUAAGAAGAAAGGGGGUAUUAAUGACUAGUCGAACUAUCUUGUGGUUAUUACUGGCGGAUGGAACAUUAUCAAUAUGGCAUUUGCAGUUUGUGGGAGUACACAAACAUUGUCAUGAAUUUUCUCUCUGGAUCCAGUGAGUUAAAUGGAAGUAAAAGUUUUGCCUGGCUUCAAUACUUUGAUGUUAUUAUCACUGGCAGAUCUUCAAGUAUUUACAUUCCCUUGAUGUUGAAGAUUUCAAAGAUAUGAAGUUGGGCUACUCAAUCACCUUUGUACCAAGUUGACUAAAACUUUCAUUCUUUGAGGAGGAGGGAACCUCAAAGAUUACUAGAACUACCAUCAAGUGAAAAGAGGUCAUGGGUGUUGUUAAUGGAGUUAACAAUGAGACAAAAGGAAACAAAUGCGCACUUGCUGAGGUGAGUUACCCCAGACACUGAUAAACACAUAUUGGCAACACAAACAGGUCUUUCGCGAAACCAGGUAUCGAAUUGGUUCAUAAAUGCUCGAGUCCGAGUGUGAAAGCCAUUGGUUGAGAAAAUACACAUGCUUGAAACAAAAGACACAACAAGUGCUAACAAGAACAACAACAACAAUCACCCUAGUACUGAAAAUGAGAGAGCUUGUGUUAAUGAAGAUGGUUCCAGUAGCCAACAACAUAGAGUAAUAGAGGGGCCUCAAAGCAAGUUCAACAUGCAUUCUUUGAUUCCUGAGAACCAACAACAGUCUCACCAAAGUAUGGAACUUGAAAUUGAGUCAACAACCAAUGAAGAAUAAUGGAGCCGAGAGAAGAGGUCUAAAUUGGAAUGUGAGAUGAAUUCAACAAGCAUUAUUAAGUAGUUUAGCUAAUAACUGCACUAUUUUGCUUUGCAGUUAGAACAAGAAAGUAUGAUAAAAGAGGUUAAAGUAUGCUUUUUUUAUUCUUUGUCAAAAUUUUUAUUUUGUCUUAAAUUGUGAAAUAGCUUCAUGAAUUUAUUCAUGUGCAUGAACUGGUGAUAUAAUCUUGUUUUUUAUUAUAAGGGAAUGUUAUGCUAGCAAGUCAUUUACAU